rnacentral:siRNA from 1 species
UACAGGAAAGGGGUGACCGA